GGCCAGGUAGCUCAGUUGGUAGAGCAGGGGAUUGAAAAUCCCCGUGUCGGGGGUUCGAUUCCCUCCCUGGCCA
rfam:Lysobacter defluvii IMMIB APB-9 = DSM 18482 strain IMMIB APB-9 contig200, whole genome shotgun sequence.